rnacentral:rRNA from 1 species
UACGGGGGGGGGCAAGCGUUGUUCGGAAUUACUGGGCGUAAAGGGCUCGUAGGCGGCCAACUAAGUCAGACGUGAAAUCCCUCGGCUUAACCGGGGAACUGCGUCUGAUACUGGAUGGCUUGAGAUUGGGAGAGGGAUGCGGAAUUCCAGGUGUAGCGGUGAAAUGCGCAGAUAUCGGGAGGAACACCGGUGGCGAAGGCGGUUCUCUGGGCCUGACCUGACGCUGAGGAGCGAAAGCGUGGGGAGCGAACAGG